rnacentral:rRNA from 1 species
UGGUGGGUAGUUUGACUGGGGCGGUCUCCUCCUAAAGAGUAACGGAGGAGCACGAAGGUUGGCUAAUCCUGGUCGGACAUCAGGAGGUUAGUGCAAUGGCAUAAGCCAGCUUGACUGCGAGCGUGACGGCGCGAGCAGGUGCGAAAGCAGGUCAUAGUGAUCCGGUGGUUCUGAAUGGAAGGGCCAUCGCUCAACGGAUAAAAGGUACUCCGGGGAUAACAGGCUGAUACCGCCCAAGAGUUCAUAUCGACGGCGGUGUUUGGCACCUCGAUGUCGGCUCAUCACAUCCUGGGGCUGAAGUAGGUCCCAAGGGUAUGGCUGUUCGCCAUUUAAAGUGGUACGCGAGCUGGGUUUAGAACGUCGUGAGACAGUUCGGUCCCUAUCUGCCGUGGGCGCUGGAGAAUUGAGGGGGGCUGCUCCUAGUACGAGAGGACCGGAGUGGACGCAUCACUGGUGUUCGGGUUGUCAUGCCAAUGGCACUGCCCGGUAGCUAAAUGCGGAAGAGAUAAGUGCUGAAAGCAUCUAAGCACGAAACUUGCCCCGAGAUGAGUUCUCCCUGACUCCUUGAGAGUCCUGAAGGAACGUUGAAG